UUACCAAGGCAAUGAUGCGUAGCCGAACUGAGAGGUUGAUCGGCCACAUUGGGACUGAGACACGGCCCAAACUCCUACGGGAGGCAGCAGUAGGGAAUCUUCCACAAUGGGCGAAAGCCUGAUGGAGCAACGCCGCGUGGGUGAAGAAGGUCUUCGGAUCGUAAAACCCUGUUGUUAGAGAAGAAAGUGCGUGAGAGUAACUGUUCACGUUUCGACGGUAUCUAACCAGAAAGCCACGGCUAACUACGUGCCAGCAGCCGCGGUAAUACGUAGGUGGCAAGCGUUAUCCGGAUUUAUUGGGCGUAAAGGGAACGCAGGCGGUCUUUUAAGUCUGAUGUGAAAGCCUUCGGCUUAACCGGAGUAGUGCAUUGGAAACUGGGAGACUUGAGUGCAGAAGAGGAGAGUGGAACUCCAUGUGUAGCGGUGAAAUGCGUAGAUAUAUGGAAGAACACCAGUGGCGAAAGCGGCUCUCUGGUCUGUAACUGACGCUGAGGUUCGAAAGCGUGGGUAGCAAACAGGAUUAGAUACCCUGGUAGUCCACGCCGUAAACGAUGAAUGCUAAGUGUUGGAGGGUUUCCGCCCUUCAGUGCUGCAGCUAACGCAAUAAGCAUUCCGCCUGGGGAGUACGACCGCAAGGUUGAAACUCAAAGGAAUUGACGGGGGCCCGCACAAGCGGUGGAGCAUGUGGUUUAAUUCGAAGCAACGCGAAGAACCUUACCAGGUCUUGACAUCUUUUGACAAUCCUAGAGAUAGGACUUUCCCUUCGGGGACAAAAUGACAGGUGGUGCAUGGUUGUCGUCAGCUCGCGUCGUGAGAUGUUGGGUUAAGUCCCGCAACGAGCGCAACCCUUAUUGUUAGUUGCCAGCAUUAAGUUGGGCACUCUAGCAAGACUGCCGGUGACAAACCGGAGGAAGGUGGGGAUGACGUCAAAUCAUCAUGCCCCUUAUGACCUGGGCUACACACGUGCUACAAUGGACGGUACAACGAGUCGCAAGACCGCGAGGUUUAGCAAAUCUCUUAAAGCCGUUCUCAGUUCGGAUUGUAGGCUGCAACUCGCCUACAUGAAGUCGGAAUCGCUAGUAAUCGCGGAUCAGCAUGCCGCGGUUAAUACGUUCCCGGGCCUUGUACACACCGCCCGUCACACCAUGAGAGUUUGUAACACCCAAAGCCGGUGGGGUAACCUUUUGGAGCCAGCCGUCUAAGGUGGGACAGAUGAUUAGGGUGAA
rnacentral:rRNA from 1 species